rnacentral:rRNA from 1 species
UUAAGCGACUAAGCGUACACGGUGGAUGCCCUGGCAGUCAGAGGCGAUGAAGGACGUGCUAAUCUGCGAAAAGCGUCGGUAAGGUGAUAUGAACCGUUAUAGCCGGCGAUGUCCGAAUGGGGAAACCCAGUGCAAUUCGUUGCACUAUCGUUAACUGAAUACAUAGGUUAACGAGGCGAACCGGGGGAACUGAAACAUCUAAGUACCCCGAGGAAAAGAAAUCAACCGAGAUUCCCCCAGUAGCGGCGAGCGAACGGGGAGCAGCCCAGAGUCUGAAUCAGCUUGUGUGUUAGUGGAACGGUCUGGAAAGUCCGACGGUACAGGGUGAUAGUCCCGUACACCAAAAUGCACAGGCUGUGAACUCGAAGAGUAGGGCGGGACACGUGGUAUCCUGUCUGAAUAUGGGGGGACCAUCCUCCAAGGCUAAAUACUCCUGACUGACCGAUAGUGAACCAGUACCGUGAGGGAAAGGCGAAAAGAACCCCGGCGAGGGGAGUGAAAAAGAACCUGAAACCGUGUACGUACAAGCAGUGGGAGCACCUUCGGGUGUGACUGCGUACCUUUUGUAUAAUGGGUCAGCGACUUAUAUUCUGUAGCAAGGUUAACCGUAUAGGGGAGCCGCAGGGAAACCGAGUCUUAACUGGGCGUUAAGUUGCAGGGUAUAGACCCGAAACCCGGUGAUCUAGCCAUGGGCAGGUUGAAGGUUGGGUAACACUAACUGGAGGACCGAACCGACUAAUGUUGAAAAAUUAGCGGAUGACUUGUGGCUGGGGGUGAAAGGCCAAUCAAACCGGGAGAUAGCUGGUUCUCCCCGAAAGCUAUUUAGGUAGCGCCUCGUGAAUUCAUCUUCGGGGGUAGAGCACUGUUUCGGCUAGGGGGUCAUCCCGACUUACCAACCCGAUGCAAACUACGAAUACCGAAGAAUGUUAUCACGGGAGACACACGGCGGGUGCUAACGUCCGUCGUGAAGAGGGAAACAACCCAGACCGCCAGCUAAGGUCCCAAAGUCAUGGUUAAGUGGGAAACGAUGUGGGAAGGCACAGACAGCCAGGAUGUUGGCUUAGAAGCAGCCAUCAUUUAAAGAAAGCGUAAUAGCUCACUGGUCGAGUCGGCCUGCGCGGAAGAUGUAACGGGGCUAAACCAUGCACCGAAGCUGCGGCAGCGACACUAUGUGUUGUUGGGUAGGGGAGCGUUCUGUAAGCCUGCGAAGGUGGCCUGUGAGGGUUGCUGGAGGUAUCAGAAGUGCGAAUGCUGACAUAAGUAACGAUAAAGCGGGUGAAAAGCCCGCUCGCCGGAAGACCAAGGGUUCCUGUCCAACGUUAAUCGGGGCAGGGUGAGUCGACCCCUAAGGCGAGGCCGAAAGGCGUAGUCGAUGGGAAACAGGUUAAUAUUCCUGUACUUGGUGUUACUGCGAAGGGGGGACGGAGAAGGCUAUGUUAGCCGGGCGACGGUUGUCCCGGUUUAAGCAUGUAGGCUGGUUAUCCAGGCAAAUCCGGAUAAUCAAGGCUGAGGUGUGAUGACGAGGCACUACGGUGCUGAAGUAACAAAUGCCCUGCUUCCAGGAAAAGCCUCUAAGCAUCAGGUAACAUCAAAUCGUACCCCAAACCGACACAGGUGGUCAGGUAGAGAAUACCAAGGCGCUUGAGAGAACUCGGGUGAAGGAACUAGGCAAAAUGGUGCCGUAACUUCGGGAGAAGGCACGCUGGUGUGUAGGUGAAGUCCCUGCGGAUGGAGCUGAGACCAGUCGAAGAUACCAGCUGGCUGCAACUGUUUAUUAAAAACACAGCACUGUGCAAACACGAAAGUGGACGUAUACGGUGUGACGCCUGCCCGGUGCCGGAAGGUUAAUUGAUGGGGUUAUCCGUAAGGAGAAGCUCUUGAUCGAAGCCCCGGUAAACGGCGGCCGUAACUAUAACGGUCCUAAGGUAGCGAAAUUCCUUGUCGGGUAAGUUCCGACCUGCACGAAUGGCGUAAUGAUGGCCAGGCUGUCUCCACCCGAGACUCAGUGAAAUUGAACUCGCUGUGAAGAUGCAGUGUACCCGCGGCAAGACGGAAAGACCCCGUGAACCUUUACUAUAGCUUGACACUGAACAUUGAGCCUUGAUGUGUAGGAUAGGUGGGAGGCUUUGAAGCGUGGACGCCAGUCUGCGUGGAGCCAACCUUGAAAUACCACCCUUUAAUGUUUGAUGUUCUAACGUUGGCCCCUGACCGGGGUUGCGGACAGUGUCUGGUGGGUAGUUUGACUGGGGCGGUCUCCUCCCAAAGCGUAACGGAGGAGCACGAAGGUUAGCUAAUCCUGGUCGGACAUCAGGAGGUUAGUGCAAUGGCAUAAGCUAGCUUGACUGCGAGCGUGACGGCGCGAGCAGGUGCGAAAGCAGGUCAUAGUGAUCCGGUGGUUCUGAAUGGAAGGGCCAUCGCUCAACGGAUAAAAGGUACUCCGGGGAUAACAGGCUGAUACCGCCCAAGAGUUCAUAUCGACGGCGGUGUUUGGCACCUCGAUGUCGGCUCAUCACAUCCUGGGGCUGAAGUAGGUCCCAAGGGUAUGGCUGUUCGCCAUUUAAAGUGGUACGCGAGCUGGGUUUAGAACGUCGUGAGACAGUUCGGUCCCUAUCUGCCGUGGGCGCUGGAGAAUUGAGGGGGGCUGCUCCUAGUACGAGAGGACCGGAGUGGACGCAUCACUGGUGUUCGGGUUGUCAUGCCAAUGGCACUGCCCGGUAGCUAAAUGCGGAAGAGAUAAGUGCUGAAAGCAUCUAAGCACGAAACUUGCCCCGAGAUGAGUUCUCCCUGAGACUUUAAGUCUCCUGAAGGAACGUUAAAGACGAUGACGUUGAUAGGCCGGGUGUGUAAGCGCAGCGAUGCGUUGAGCUAACCGGUACUAAUGAACCGUGAGGCUUAACCUU